rnacentral:rRNA from 1 species
AGCGAACGUUAGCGGCGGGCUUAACACAUGCAAGUCGAGCGAGAAAAGGGCUUCGGCCCUUAGUAAAGCGGCGGACGGGUGAGUAUCACGUAGGUAAUCUUCCCUCGAGCGGGGGACAACGGUCCGAAAGGACCGCUAAUACCGCAUACGUUCCCAGAGACUCCGGUCAAUGGGAGGAAAGCUAGGUAGCAAUAUCUGGCACUCGAGGCGGGGCCUACGCCGCAUCAGCUAGUUGGUGGGGUAACGGCCUACCAAGGCGAAGACGCGUAGCUGGUCUGAGAGGAUGAUCAGCCACACUGGGACUGAGACACGGCCCAGACUCCUACGGGAGGCUG